rnacentral:rRNA from 1 species
GGCGAACGCUGGCGGCGUGCCUAAUACAUGCAAGUAGAACGCUGAAGAGAGGAGCUUGCUCUUCUUGGAUGAGUUGCGAACGGGUGAGUAACGCGUAGGUAACCUGCCUGGUAGCGGGGGAUAACUAUUGGAAACGAUAGCUAAUACCGCAUAAAAUGGAUUAUCGCAUGAUAAUCCAUUGAAAGGUGCAAAUGCAUCACUACCAGAUGGACCUGCGUUGUAUUAGCUAGUUGGUGGGGUAACGGCUCACCAAGGCGACGAUACAUAGCCGACCUGAGAGGGUGAUCGGCCACACUGGGACUGAGACACGGCCCAGACUCCUACGGGAGGCAGCAGUAGGGAAUCUUCGGCAAUGGACGGAAGUCUGACCGAGCAACGCCGCGUGAGUGAAGAAGGUUUUCGGAUCGUAAAGCUCUGUUGUAAGAGAAGAACGAGUGUGAGAGUGGAAAGUUCACACUGUGACGGUAUCUUACCAGAAAGGGACGGCUAACUACGUG